CCCGGGCUCAACCUGGGAACUGCGUUUGAGACUGUAUAGCUAGAGUGUGGCAGAGGGGGGUGGAAUUCCUCGUGUAGCGGUGAAAUGCGUAGAUAUGUGGAGGAACACCGAUGGCGAAGGCAGCCCCCUGGGAUAAUACUGACGCUGAUGCACGAAAGCGUGGGGAGCAAACAGGAUUAGAUACCCUGGUAGUCCACGCCCUAAACGAUGCUCACUAGUUGUUGGGAAUUUACAUUC
rnacentral:rRNA from 1 species